rnacentral:rRNA from 1 species
UACGUAGGGUGCGAGCGUUAAUCGGAAUUACUGGGCGUAAAGCGUGCGCAGGCGGUUUUGUAAGCCAGAUGUGAAAUCCCCGGGCUCAACCUGGGAAUGGCAUUUGGGACUGCAAGGCUGGAGUGCGGCAGAGGAGACUGGAAUUCCUGGUGUAGCAGUGAAAUGCGUAGAUAUCAGGAGGAAUACCGAUGGCGAAGGCAGGUCGCUGGGCUGACACUGACGCUCAUGCACGAAAGCGUGGGGAGCAAACAGG